rnacentral:rRNA from 1 species
GAUGAACGCUGGCGGCGUGCCUAACACAUGCAAGUCGAGCGAUUCUCUUCGGAGAAGAGCGGCGGACGGGUGAGUAACGCGUGGGUAACCUGCCCUGUACACACGGAUAACAUACCGAAAGGUAUGCUAAUACGAGAUAAUAUACUUUUAUCGCAUGGUAGAAGUAUCAAAGCUCCGGCGGUACAGGAUGGACCCGCGUCUGAUUAGCUAGUUGGUAAGGUAACGGCUUACCAAGGCGACGAUCAGUAGCCGACAUGAGAGGGUGAUCGGCCACAUUGGAACUGGGACACGGUCCAAACUCCUACGGGCGGCAGCAGUGGGGAAUAUUGCACAAUGGGCGAAAGCCUGAUGCAGCAACGCCGCGUGAGCGAUGAAGGCCUUCGGGUCGUAAAGCUCUGUCCUCAAGGAAGAUAAUGACGGUACUUGAGGAGGAAGCCCCGGCUAACUACGUGCCAGCCGCCGCCGUAA